rnacentral:rRNA from 1 species
GACAGGGGUCCCGAGCGUUGUUCGGAUUCAUUGGGCGUAAAGGGUGUGUAGGAGGUUGGGUAAGUCAGGUGUGAAAUCUCGGAGCUUAACUCUGAAACUGCGCUUGAUACUGCUCAGCUAGAGGAUCGGAGGGGGUAACGGAAUUUAUGGUGUAGCAGUGAAAUGCGUAGAUAUCAUGAGGAACACCGGUGGCGAAGGCGGUUACCUGGAAGAUUCCUGACUCUGAAACACGAAAGCCAGGGGAGCAAACGGG